rnacentral:lncRNA from 1 species
GUUUCAGGCAAAUGCAACAUCUAGGAAUUUAGAGUAGCAAAGUAGGAUGCAGGUGGUAGGACACAGGUAAAACUAGCCAGGUAAGACGGGCAGGCAAGGCAGAUAAGUGGAAGUGGAGGCUCAGGAAAUGAACAGUGAAGAUCAAGGACCAGAAACGGAGGAUGUGGCCAAAAACAAAAGAAAAAAUGUAGGCCACAGAGACUAGGACCCAAGAAUAAAACCAGUGAUUGAGCCUGGAAACAGGAGAGAUGAGGCGAGAAGGGCUUGGGGCGAAAGACUGAACGUUGAAACUCACCUUGAUUAUGAAUCAAACUUCAGAAGCUUCCUAGAGGCUCCUUUUGCUGAUGGCUGGAAUCGGUUAACAGGAGGGAAGACCAAGGCCCAAGGAGCCAGGAAGUUCCUGACAGUCAUUUGAAAUAUCUUUGCUUUUCUCUGCUGAAUCUCAUCUUUAGUUAUGAGACCACCUCUCUAGUUAAAAUACAUAAAGUUUCUUAAGCUUUUC